rnacentral:rRNA from 1 species
AGCAGCCGCCGCGGGAACACGGAGGGUGCAAGCGUUAAUCGGAAUUACUGGGCGUAAAGCGCACGCAGGCGGUCUGUCAAGUCAGAUGUGAAAUCCCCGGGCUUAACCUGGGAACUGCAUUUGAAACUGGCAGGCUAGAGUCUUGUAGAGGGGGGUAGAAUUCCAGGUGUAGCGGUGAAAUGCGUAGAGAUCUGGAGGAAUACCGGUGGCGAAGGCGGCCCCCUGGACAAAGACUGACGCUCAGGUGCGAAAGCGUGGGGAGCAAACAGGAUUAGAUACCCGCGUAGUCCCUGUCUCUUAUAC